ensembl:lncRNA
UAAGAGAUGGUACUUCAGUGUCCUGCGUCUCCCCCAUUAUAAAUUAACCAUGAGCCCCCUGUCCUUCUCAGCUGAAGGGACACCUGCGAUAGUGGACCACCUCGAACAAAAAGCUGUCCUCCUGCAUUUAAAAACCACUGUUGACUUAAUCUAUUUACAUUUUUCUCUGAGGAAAAACACCAUAUAUUUAUCCUCUGUUACUGAAAAGUUAUUUCAACACAAUAACUCACCCAUUGUGAUGUCAACAUUAGAAUGCACACACAGGGAUCUAUAUGGAACAAAAAUCUAAACGCAACAUGGAAACCGCCUGACCUCAACCCAUUUGAGAUGGUUUGGGAUGAGUUGAAAAGCAGCCAACAAGUGCUCAGCAUAUGUGGGAACUCCUUCAAGACUGUUGGAAAAGCAUUCCAGGUGAAGCUGAUUGAGAGAAUGCAAAACUGCCAUCAAGGCAAAAGUUGGCUACUUUGAAGAAUCUCAAAUCAAAUAUAUUUUGAUUUGUUUAACACUUUUUUGGUUACUACAUGAUUCCAUGUGUUAUUCCAUAGUUUUAAUGUCUUCACAGUUAUUCUACAAUGUAGAAAAUAGUAAAAAUAAUGAAAAACCCUUUGCCUGGUACUAUAUAUGUUCAUCACAUCCUCAGGGAGCGAGGUGGAGGAGAGCAAAAAGAGAUGGAGGGACAGAAAUGGUGCAGAGGAGUCUCUCUGGUCUUCACUGUUUCCUCAGGGAGCGAGGUGGAGGAGGAGGAGCAAAAAGAGAUGGAGGGACAGAAACGGUGCAGAGGAGUCUCUGGUCUUCACUGUUUCCUCAGGGAGCGAGGUGGAGGAGGAGAGCAAAAAGAGAUGGAGGGACAGAAAUGGUGCAGAGGAGUCUCUCUGGUCUUCACUGUUUCCUCAGGGAGCGAGGUGGAGGAGGAGGAGCAAAAAGAGAGAAUGGAGGGACAGAAAUGGUGCAGAGUCUCUCUGGUCUUCACUGUUUCCUGUCUCCGCCUGCCGUUUAUCUAGAUCAAUGAUCUGUGUGGACGCUAUGACAGGCCCUUGCUGUCGAGGUGUCUGAUACACGGCUGAUUGUUACGUCCCCUGUAUCGAUGCUACGAUGCUAUGACAAGCCGUUGCUGUCGAGGUGUCUGAUACACGGCUGAUUGUUACGUCCCCUGUAUCGAUGCUACAAUGGUAACGGAGAAGAGGAAGAUGACUGGACUCGUCGUGUUGUAUUAAGAGGCAGGCCGU